GGUGGCUCAGCGGUAGAGCGCUUGCCCUGAUUGCAAGAGGCCCUGGGUUCAAUUCCUCAGCACCA
rnacentral:tRNA from 1 species